rnacentral:rRNA from 1 species
GACGAACGCUGGCGGCGUGCCUAAUACAUGCAAGUAGAACGCUGAAGAGAGGAGCUUGCUCUUCUUGGAUGAGUUGCGAACGGGUGAGUAACGCGUAGGUAACCUGCCUGGUAGCGGGGGACAACUAUUGGAAACGAUAGCUAAUACCGCAUAAAAUUGAUUAUUGCAUGAUAAUUAAUUGAAAGAUGCAACUGCAUCACUACCAGAUGGACCUGCGUUGUAUUAGCUAGUUGGUGAGGUAACGGCUCACCAAGGCGACGAUACAUAGCCGACCUGAGGGGGUGAUCGGCCACACUGGGACUGAGACACGGCCCAGACUCCUACGGGAGGCAGCAGUAGGGAAUCUUCGGCAAUGGGGGGAACCCUGACCGAGCAACGCCGCGUGAGUGAAGAAGGUUUUCGGAUCGUAAAGCUCUGUUGUAAGAGAAGAACGGGUGUGAGAGUGGAAAGUUCACACUGUGACGGUAUCUUACCAGAAAGGGACGGCUAACUACGUG